AUUCAUGUCAAAUUAUACCAUUCAACCACACACAUAGUUACUUCGAUUUUAUUUUUCAUAUAUAUGCCUAUAUUUUAAAUAUAUAAUUAUUCAUAUUUGUAUUUCCAUUCCAGCUGAAAAUCAGCGCUGUGGCUUCCAGUCUUGGCAGAAAGCUGAGUUGGGAUCCUUUUCGGCAUAGAAUAUGUUUUUGUUUAGAAACUAAUGGUACCAGUUUCUAAAAAAAAUAUAGCGAGAUCUUGUCGCAUACAAUGCUUGACAAAAUAUUCGUGAUAGUGCUGAAACCGUUGAGGAGUUCUCUCGUCGGAAGCCGAUUCUGGGCGGUGCACCAGUGGAUCCCGCUCAUGGUUCAUGCCUGCUUAGAAGAAAUGGUGUAAAGUAGCUGCUAAAUCAGACUGCGCGACCGGAAUUACUUCAUAUUCUGUCUGUAUAGAAUCAAUUCGCCUUGACCCAGAGUGGAGCUAUCUGAAGGUCUACCACGAAACACAACACGUAGCACGUUACUAAUAUGCUGUCUCUUUUCCAUAUCGUGUGCGAAUCGUGUAAAAAAAAAAAGAGAGACGUGCUACGUGUUUUAUGUUUCACGGCAGCCCCCUGGCAUAUCAUAAUGAAGGAAGGGCAAAAAUCGAAGACCUGGAACACCUUGAAGAAGAGUCACAACAAUUCAGCUAAAUAGAAAAUAUACUUUUUCAGUGUGAUUAGCAUUUUCUGUAUGUAUACGUAUCGUUAGGUAGUCUAAUUAAAUUUCUCUAAUAGUUUUUGUUAUGUGUACG